AACGAACGCUGGCGGCAUGCCUAACACAUGCAAGUCGAACGAGACCUUCGGGUCUAGUGGCGCACGGGUGCGUAACGCGUGGGAACCUGCCCUUAGGUUCGGAAUAACUCCCCGAAAGGGGUGCUAAUACCGGAUAAUGUCUUCGGACCAAAGAUUUAUCGCCUUUGGAUGGGCCCGCGUUGGAUUAGCUAGUUGGUAGGGUAAAAGCCUACCAAGGCGACGAUCCAUAGCUGGUCUGAGAGGAUGAUCAGCCACACUGGGACUGAGACACGGCCCAGACUCCUACGGGAGGCAGCAGUGGGGAAUAUUGGACAAUGGGCGAAAGCCUGAUCCAGCAAGGCCGCGUGAGUGAUGAAGGCCGGAGGGUUGUAAAGCUCUUUUACCCGGGAUGAUAAUGACAGUACCGGGAGAAUAAGCUCCGGCUAACUCCGUG
rnacentral:rRNA from 1 species